rnacentral:rRNA from 1 species
CACGUAGGGUGCGAGCGUUGUCCGGAAUUAUUGGGCGUAAAGAGCUCGUAGGCGGUGUGUCGCGUCGGCCGUGAAAACCUGCAGCUUAACUGUGGGCUUGCGGUCGAUACGGGCAUCACUGGAGUUCGGCAGGGGAGACUGGAAUUCCUGGUGUAGCGGUGAAAUGCGCAGAUAUCAGGAGGAACACCGAUGGCGAAGGCAGUUCGCUGGGCCGUAACUGACGCUGAGGAGCGAAAGCGUGGGGAGCGAACAGG